rnacentral:rRNA from 1 species
GGAUGACGUCAAGUCAUCAUGGCCCUUACGACCAGGGCUACACACGUGCUACAAUGGCGCAUACAAAGAGAAGCGACCUCGCGAGAGCAAGCGGACCUCAUAAAGUGCGUCGUAGUCCGGAUUGGAGUCUGCAACUCGACUCCAUGAAGUCGGAAUCGCUAGUAAUCGUGGAUCAGAAUGCCACGGUGAAUACGUUCCCGGGCCUUGUACACACCGCCCGUCACACCAUGGGAGUGGGUUGCAAAAGAAGUAGGUAGCUUAACCUUCGGGAGGGCGCUUACCACUUUGUGAUUCAUGACUGGGGUGAAGUCGUAACAAGGUAACCGUAGGGGAACCUGCGGUUGGAUCACCUCCUU